ACCUACGGGGGGCAGCAGUGGGGAAUAUUGCACAAUGGGGGAAACCCUGAUGCAGCGACGCCGCGUGAGUGAAGAAGUAUUUCGGUAUGUAAAGCUCUAUCAGCAGGGAAGAAAAUGACGGUACCUGACUAAGAAGCCCCGGCUAACUACGUGCCAGCAGCCGCGGUAAUACGUAGGGGGCAAGCGUUAUCCGGAUUUACUGGGUGUAAAGGGAGCGUAGACGGCAUGGCAAGUCAGAUGUGAACGCCCGGGG
rnacentral:rRNA from 1 species